rnacentral:rRNA from 1 species
UACAGAGGGGGCAAGCGUUGUUCGGAAUUACUGGGCGUAAAGGGCGCGUAGGCGGCCUGUUAAGUCGAACGUGAAAUCCCUGGGCUCAACCCAGGAACUGCGUCCGAUACUGGCAGGCUUGAAUUCGGGAGAGGGAUGCGGAAUUCCAGGUGUAGCGGUGAAAUGCGUAGAUAUCGGGAGGAACACCAAUGGCGAAGGCAGCUCGCUGGGACGUGACUGACGCUGAGACGCGAAAGCGUGGGGAGCAAACAGG